CUUUCCCUUCCCUGCUCUCCUCUGCCCUCCCCUUCUUCCUUCCCCUCCCUUCCUCCCUUGCUUCUAUCCUUUUCCUUGUAUAUUUUAAUCUUUUGGUGUUUGAAGGUAGCUUUGAACUGAUCCUGCUGCUCCUACUUUCCGAGUUGCAAGUGUUAUAAGCUUGUGCCAGCACACCCAGCUUAAGACUUCAUUUCCUUCUGUGAGGAUUGUUCCAUUCCAUGGAUGGCUACCUGUUGCUUGUCCACUUGUCAGAUGAUAGGCAUCGGUUGUUUCCAUUUGUGGCUAUCAUGAACAAUACAGCUGUGAGUGUUCAUGUAUGCUUUUGUGUGAACGUACAUCUUAUUUUCUCUUGGGUGUGUUGCUAGGAACAGAGUUGCAGAUACCCAUUGUCCAGGUGCCCCAGUGGCAGGCCUUAGCUGGUUUUCUCUGUCCUUCCUCAUUUCCUUUGUUUUCCUCUGACUAUGUUGCCUCUUGGCGAGUGUUUUCUUACUCUCUUUUUGGCGUGUGUGAGCGUGUGUGUGUGUGUGUGUGUGUGUGUGUGUGUGUGUACACAUGUGUAUGCAGGUGCCCACGGAGGCCAGAAGGAAGUAGAGAAUUUCCCUGGAGCUGCAGUUAUAGACACUGGUGAGCUGCCCAAUGCAGGUACUGGGAUCUGACUCCUCCCUAGAGAGCGCAAGCGUUCUCAGUCAGCGAGUCUUCUCUCCGCCCCUUCUUCUUGGUCGUGUGUGCACACAUGUGGCUGUGGGCUUAUGCGUGCACAGUGCACGUGUGGCAGUCUGAGGACAGCAGCUCCCAUGGGUCUUUACAUGCCUUUUGCCUCUCCUUUGAGAGACUCUCCUUGGUCUGGAACUUUAUCGAGCUGAGCCAGGCUACCUGGUCUGAGAGCUUCCAGGGAUCCGCCUGUCUUUGCCUCCUAGCUCAUCAUUGUGGGCUACGGGUGCACACCACCACACUCAUCUUUUCCCAUGAGUCCUAGGGCUCCAAACUCAGAGCCUCAUGUUUGCAAGGCACAAUCUUUACUGACAGCCAUCUCUCCAGCCCUAACAUUUCAACAUUUCCCUUUGUCUCAAACUCUCAGUGGAUGGAAUUUGGACAGGAUAGGGAAACUGAACAGAAUCUGGAGUAGGGCAGUGUAGCAUGGGAUUCAGAGUGAAAUCACCACUUUAGAGUCCCUUUUUCAAAAAUGGUGGAGUCUGAACUGCAAUGGCAGAGCCAGCAAGGUCCCUAAGUGACUACACAGAGUGUGAGCAGAACAAGAAGAUGCAGUAGACGCAACAAUUUAAACCAGUGGGUACCCAGGAGACACAAAAACAAACCUCACCCUAUCCCUGGAGUGGUUCCAAUGACUGUUGGGUGCUCUCCAGUAUGCAUGUCAAGAUCCAAACCCAUAGCAUUGGAAUCUCACAAAGUAAGAUGACCCAUCCAACCCGUAGACUCUAAGAACUUGAAAAACAAUCAUUUGUUUGAGGCCUUCUCCCCAAGAAUCACAGUUGUUUGAUUUGGCCACAACAUUUAGUUCUAGCUUCUGAGUGGGCUCAGAUGCUCCAGCUGGUGGCAGGGCCACACUCUUAGGAACACAGGCACAUAGGGAUCAGACAGCCAGAGCUACAGCAGAUCCAGAAGCAGGUGGUCACGGUGGACACCGGCAGCCAGAUGUGGUAGCCGAUACCUCCCAGUUCAGAACAGAUGGUCAUCAUCUUUCUCCAGGGCUAGCCUCUUCCAGUCCACAAACCUCAUUCCCCAUGCUCACCUAGACUCCUGGCCCCAGGACUCAUUAUCACCUCCUCUCAAUACUUUGGGAUACAGAGCCUCCAAAGCGUUGGGGAAAUGUGUCAGGUCCUUUGUCACGAAGGGACAUUCAGGCUGGCUGUGGUGGCUAAGGAGUCAGCCAGGAAUUCAGAGCAGAUGGGUGGCUGGGGCGUAUUUGUUUGUUAAAUGUGAUACAUAAGGUCCUACAGACUGGGCACACACUGAGUCGUAGCCACACGACAGCUGUAGUCCCUUCCUGAUGCCACCCCAGCCCAACAGGCAUGUGGUAAAGAGAUUGGUAUAUUAUACUCUUCCAACCGGGAUGCAAAAUGAACUGCUUCCUAUCCCUCCCCCUUUCCCUCCCUCCAAGUCCUCCGUCCCUUCUCACAUCUCAGCCAUCUAAGUGCUGAGGUUGUGGGCAUUUGCUACCACACCUGGCCAGAAGUGAUUUUUAAUGUAUCGUCCAAUGUUUUUUUAAUUAUCCUGGAUAUGUAAGAAAAUGUAAUGUUUAUGGUUUAAAAAAAAGAAAAUAAAAAAGCUAGUACAAAAGAGAAUGGAGGGACCAGUGAGAGAGCUCAGUGGAUGAAGCUCCUGUCACCAGGUGGACCACUCGGGAGGUGCGAGGAAGAGUGCUGCCCCCCACAGGAUGUCUUCUGACCUCCUCAUGUGUGUUGUGAUGUGUGCCAGCAGCACACGCAUGUGUACACUCACACGUGCACAUGCAAAGUCCAGCCUCACCUUCUGAGGAGUAACCGCCAUGCUGGAGAGAUGGUUCAGUUGGAAAAGCCUGAGGACCCAAGUUCAGUUCCCGGGGCUCAGGCAAACAGCCGGGUGUGUGGUGCAUGCCUGCAAACCCAGCCUGGGAGAGGCAGAAGCUUGCUGGCCAGCCAGUCUAGUCUGAUCGGAGAGUCCAGGUCGGUGAGAGAUCCUGUCUCCAAAGAGCAAGAUAGUCAGUACUCGAGGAACACCCAAAGUUGUCCUCUGGCCUGCACACAUACACAUCUGCACACAGAGGAAGUACCACCACAAGUACCCUGGAGAAUCGGUCCUCAAGGCCAGUCUAUUCCAGUACCAACCAGCACCCCCACCAUAUUUAAUGUCCCCUACUGGCCAACGUUCAUGUUAAGUUCGGAACUUGGCUGUGAUAACACACACCUUCCUUGGUGCAAGUGCUUUUAGCAUAAACCGGAGAAGUGGAAUGUCUCCAUCACAAGGGCUGUUCCCUUUUAAAUCUGCAUCGAUUCCCUGGUGCCCUUCAGAAAGGUGGUAUGACCACUCUUCAGUAGAGAUGCAGUAUUCUCAGUGAGGUAAGUAGACUUUAAGAGUGGCCCGGGUGGCCGGGUGGCCGGGUGGCCGGGUGGCCGGGUGGCCAGGGUAGCCAUCCAGCAAUCUUGGGAGUCUAGGUUAUGUAAACAAAGGCAGCGUUUGAGGAGAAACUCCGUGAGUAGCAUUGUGUCAGCCAGUGUUUAUUUCCUUAGUGUGGUUAGGACUUAAAUAUGGUCAAAACAUAUUCUUCUUUUUAAUUUUACACAAACAAAUAUGUUCCCAGGCUGACACCUCCGAUGCCAAGUUUCUAGGGGAAACGAAAUUCUGCUGCAAAGAUAGCAAGCCGCAGAGAGCCACUGAGGACAGAAGCGCCAUGGAGUGUGGGACGUCCCACCCGGCACCACACUGCCCAGCACUCAGAUGGAUUCCUGAGUUCUUCCAGAUUGCUCAUUGCUAAACUAUCAAGUUCCAGCUUCUGCAGCCUUACUGCUCAUUGGCAGGGAGUUCCUGGGCUGCUCCAAUCAGAAAGAGGCUGCAGAGAAAAGGCACUCACCCUGGGAGCUGGGACUUUUCUAACAGUUAACAUCGUACAAAGGUCUUUGUCUAGCUCUGUGGAAUUUGCUCUACUCUUGAAUGGACUGAGGAAAGAUGCAGAGGUUCUAGAAUGCGCUCCCCACCCCCAAGAUGAGGGACCAUGGAGGGACAGCGUAGCCUCCCACCCUGGAGCAGGAGAGACAACUCAAGAGACCAUCAGUAUUAAUCUGCCCAAACCACCUCCCAGUCUGGCCAGAUGACAGCAGGAGGCUGAGGACACUGAGUACUUGGAAUGAGGGCUUCAUUUGCAAAAGGCCUCUUAACUAAGCUGCAGUCAUCCCUAGUCCCUGAGCAGCUGGGACAAUAUGGGCUGCCAUGGGUGGCUGUAAAGGACUGUAAAAUAUAUGGAUAGAAGAGCGUUUGCCUCAGCAACCUGACUCCUAGCUUCACCAGGAACUUAAUCUCUUGCCAUUCAGAAGCUGCCCUGAACAUCUGGAGACCAUGAGACUUGGCUUUCAGAAAUAAUGAAGUCAUGUGCCCCAGGCCUGGUGCUUGAGGUAGUCACAUGGCCUAGAUGGGCCAAUCAGAAUUUUCUGAUACUUUCCUGCCGGAACUAUAGGAAAAGACUUCAUGCACUCCACUGGCUGUGGACUAAUGUGGAAGGUGUUUGAGAAAAUAGAAAUCCCUGAAAGAUAAGAGCCCAUGAGAUCCAGCUGAGGGUAAACAUACCCAUGCCUCACAUCUAGUAGUGUGUGUGUUUUGCUAGGAAACAAGAACAUAUGGAUUUACUACAUGGUGCUUGGCUGUAUAUCAGGUGAUUUGCAUACAAUCUAUACAACGUUCUUGAGAUCACCUAGAUAUUUUUUUUUUUUUUGGUUUUUCGAGACAGGGUUUCUCUGUAUUGUUUUGGAGGCUGUCAGUCCAGCCUGGCCUCGAACUCACAGAGAUCCACCUGCCUCUGCCUCCCGAGUGCUGGGAUUAAAGGCGUGCGCCACCACCGCCCAGCUCACCUAGAUAUUAUUACAGAGACUCCAAGAGAUACAGAAGCCUUACCCAGGGGACAUUGCCACUGUGUGGUCAGGAAUCCCAACAUUUGCUAUCUAAACCUUAGCAAAUUCAACUUGUGCAAAACAGUCUCCCCCCUUCCCCCCCUCCACAGCCUGAUACCUUUCUUAAGACUUCCAUCUGUUAGUCUAGCAGACUCACUAGAAGCCAGGUCCCAUCGGGUCCCUUUCUGUCCCUCUGUAGCCCCCAUGCUUCGCUGAGCCUGUCCUUCUCUGUCCCUCUGCAGUCCUGGAGCAGGGUGUUUUGUCCUAUGCACUCUCCGUGUUGCCCUGGCUGCUUUCAUUUCUCUCUUGGCCUUCUAGAACUGUCCCCUCCUAGGUCCCCUCCCCUGCAUCCAUACCUUGAGCUUGUCUUCCCACAGCACCCACAGGGUUUGUCUCAAAUGCCAACCUGUUUUGUGGGUCAUGCUUGAGUUUCAUGAUGUAAGGUCGCAUGUCCACCUUUGGGAACCUCUUGAGACUUGGUCAGCCCCUGGUGGGUUUACCCAGCUCUCAGACUUUGAGCUGGAGAGCCUGGAAGCCUGUUUCCUGUAUCCUGCAUCCAGCAUCCCAUCAUUUACUACGAAAUGUGUCUGUUAUAAAAGCUACUUCAUUGUCAUCUGGACACAGGGUGCCCUCUACCAUUUUAAAAUGCAGUGUGAGAUCAUCUGAACAGACACCAUGGCCUUCCAAGACUGUGAGCUAAAUAAAAAUUUCUUCUUAAAUUA